rnacentral:rRNA from 1 species
AAUGAACGCUGGCGGCAGGCUUAACACAUGCAAGUCGAGCGAGCGGCGGACGGGUGAGUAGUGUCUGGGCACGUGCAUGAUGGAGGGGGCUAAAUACUGGAACCGGUCGAUACUAACGCUUACAACCAGUUGUGGCCACAUGGGAUGAGCUAGUAGGUGGGGUAAUGGCACACCUAGGCGACGAUGCCUACCUGGUCUGAGAGGAUGAACAGCCACACUGGAACUGAGACACGGUCCAGACUCCUACGGGAGGCAGCAGUGGGGAAUAUUGCACAAUGGGCGCAAGCCUGAUGCAGCAAUGCCGCGUGUGUGAAGAAGGCCUUCGGGUUGUAAAGCACUUUUAGCGAGGAGGCGUUACUCGCAGAAGAAGCAACGGCUAACUCCGUGCCAGCAGCCGCGGUAAUAC